rnacentral:rRNA from 1 species
AGAGUUUGAUCCUGGCUCAGAACGAACGCUGGCGGCGUGCCUAACACAUGCAAGUCGAACGAGAAAGGUGCCUUCGGGGGCCCGGUACAGUGGCGCACGGGUGAGUAACACGUGGGUAAUCUGCCCUCGAGUGGGGAAUAACCCAGGGAAACUUGGGCUAAUACCGCAUAACAUCCCGACCUUGCAGGAGGAUGGGAUCAAAGCCGGGGAUCGCAAGACCUGGCGCUUGAGGAGGAGCCCGCGCCUGAUUAGCUUGUUGGUGAGGUAAUGGCUCACCAAGGCAACGAUCAGUAGCCGGCCUGAGAGGGUGAUCGGCCACACUGGAACUGAGACACGGUCCAGACUCCUACGGGAGGCAGCAGUGAGGAAUUUUGCGCAAUGGGCGAAAGCCUGACGCAGCAACGCCGCGUGGAUGAUGAAGGCCUUCGGGUCGUAAAAUCCUGUCAAGUGGGAAGAAACCCGGUCGGUGAAUAGCCGGUCGGGUUGACUGUACCACUGAAGGAAGCCCCGGCUAACUCCGUGCCAGCAGCCGCGGUAAUACGGAGGGGCUAGCGUUGUUCGGAAUUAUUGGGCGUAAAGGGCGCGUAGCGGCCACGUAAGUCGGGCGUGAAAUCCCUUGUCUCAACCAAGAAACUGCGUCCGAAACUGCGUGGCUCGAGUCCGGAGAGUUAGCGAUUCCCAGUGUAGCGUGAAAUGCGUAGAUAUUGGAGGAACACGGCGCGAAGCGGCUACCUGACCGGUACUGACGCUGAGGCGCGAAAGCUAGGGAGCAAACAGUAUUAGCAUACCCUGUAGUCCUAGCUGUAACGAUGAGCACUUGGUGGAGCGGGUAUUGAACCCCUGCUUGGCCGAGCUAACGCAUUAAGUGCU